CCUACGGGAGGCAGCAGUGGGGAAUCUUGCACAAUGGGGGAAACCCUGAUGCAGCGACGCCGCGUGAGUGAAGAAGUAAUUCGUUACGUAAAGCUCUAUCAGCAGGGAAGAAAAUGACGGUACCUGAGUAAGAAGCCCCUGCUAACUACGUGCCAGCAGCCGCGGUAAUACGUAGGGGGCAAGCGUUAUCCGGAUUUAAUGGGUGUAAAGCGAGCGUAGACGGCAUUGCAAGUCUGGAGUGAAAGGCGAGGGCUCAACCCCCGGACUGCUUUGGAAACUGUACGGCUGGAGUGCAGGAGAGGUAAGUGGAAUUCCUAGUGUAGCGGUGAAAUGCGUAGAUAUUAGGAGGAACACCAGUGGCGAAGGCGGCUUACUGGACUGUAACUGACGUUGAGGCUCGAAAGCGUGGGGAGCAAACAGGAUUAGAUACCCCAGUAGUC
rnacentral:rRNA from 1 species